GGAUUAGAUACCCUGGUAGUCCACGCUGUAAACGAUGAGUACUAGCUGUUGGAGUCGGUGUAAAGGCUCUAGUGGCGUAGCUAACGCGUUAAGUACUCCGCCUGGGGACUACGGCUGCAAGGCUAAAACUCAAAGGAAUUGACGGGGACCCGCACAAGCGGUGGAGCAUGUGGUUUAAUUCGAUGCAACGCGAAGAACCUUACCUGGUCUUGACAUCCUGCGAACUUUCUAGAGAUAGAUUGGUGCCUUCGGGAGCGCAGUGACAGGUGCUGCACGGCUGUCGUCAGCUCGUGCC
rnacentral:rRNA from 1 species